rnacentral:tRNA from 1 species
CAGGGAGACAAACAAGACGUUGAUGCUUGAUCCACAUUGUGAUUAAGCCAGUGUCCUGUCAUCUCGAAGGUCGAUCGGUACCUCACUUGAGGAUCCAGAGAAUUUAUUCUGCUGGAUGAUCUCAAUUUCAGUUCCUAAACGUUGUCUAGGUCACCCACUGUAGGUAAAUAACUCCUGGGCCAUUAGCUCAGGUGGUUAGAGCGCACCCCUGAUAAGGGUGAGGUCCCUGGUUCAAGAUCAGGAUGGCCCAUUCGUGUUUGGGGGUUUAGCUCAGUUGGUAGAGCGCCUGCUUUGCAAGCAGCAUAUCAGCGGUUCGAGUCCGCUAACCCCCACUCAACGGCAACCCCAGAAGGCGAAUUCUAAGGAGUUCCCGGUGUGUGAUCGAGACAGGUAAGUUCGCUGAAGAUUUCAGCUUCUUUUCAUUCCUGAGACGAUUGUUUGUUGUGAGCAUUGCCUUGUGCAACGGCUUAAAGCAACGCUUGUUUUUCUGAGGUUGAAAGGACGCUGAAUUCAGCCGAGUGAAGCGAAAGCUUGAUUCGUGUUUAAUUUCGGCAGAACCUUGACAACUGCAUAGGUGAGUCUGGAAAUAAAGCAUCUCAUGGAUGCCCAGAUGCAAGCCGAUAGGGAGACAACCGAAAGGUUGGCUCUGUUUUGGUUUUGUGUUUUGGGAAAAUCCUAUUGAGUUUUUAGAGCCGAGAGCUCUACUGGUUCUUCCCAGCCAAGCAAGUUAACUGCAUGGUUGGUUUGGGGAGUUUGAUCCUGGUAUUGACGUCUGACUUGCAACAGCCGAAAGGCUGGCGUAAGAGCUCUUCUGAAAAGAGGGGUGUUAAGGAUGGUCAAUCUAGAGAGAAUGGGCCUCAACAGCCUGAAGACAGUAGAGAUUUACAUU